AUGCCGCCGGCGCCCCGGCUUCCCGCGCUCCUCACCGGCGUCGCCAACCGCGCGACAACCCCAGCGGCGGCGAGGAAGCUGCACGCGCAGCUCCUCCUGCGCGGCCUCCCGCUCCCCGCCCGCGCCGCCGUCACCCUCCUCACCGCAUCGUCCUCCUCCCCGCGCCACGCCCGCGCCAUCUUCGACAGCGUCCCCGCCGCCACCGCCAACGUCUACCUCUGGACGGCGACCAUCUCCGUCUACGCGAAGCACGCCUCCUCCCCCGCGCUCGCCGCCGAGGCGUUCGCUCUGUUCCGGCUCAUGCUCCGGUCAGGCCCGCCACCCAAUGCCUUCACCGUCAGCUCCGCGCUCAAGUCCCUGUCGACGCUCCGAGGGGUCGACGAGGUGUGGCAGGUGCACGGGUUCUUGGUGAAGGCCGGCCUGGGCUCCUCCGUGCACGUGGGCUCUGCGUUGCUCGAUUCGUAUGGGAGCCUUGGCCAGGUGAGGGACGCAAGGAGGGUGUUCGACGAAAUGCCUGCGAGGAACGUGGUGGUUGGAAACGCCAUGGUAGCAUGUUAUGCCAGAGCAGGGGAUGUGGAGGCUGCACGGGAGGUGUUCGACGGUAUGGUGGAGAGGGACCCCAUCUCCUGGAACACGCUCAUGUCAGGGUACCUGCGGCAAGGCAAUGCUGGUGUGGCGAGGGGCCUGUUUGAUCAGAUGCCGCAGAGAAAUGUGCACAGCUGGAACAUGAUGAUCACCGCGUGCUCCCAGGCAGGGCCGUGGGCUGACUCGGUAGGGGUGUUCAAUCAGAUGCGGUUGACGGGUUUCCAGCCGGAUGCUGCAACAAUGGCCGUGUUGAUGUCCGCAUGCGCACAGCUAGGUUCCUUGUCAGUUGCAAGGCAAGUGCAUGGGCUUCUACACAAGGGCUUUGUUGAGAUGAACUGCCAUGUGCAGAAUUCUUUGAUUGACAUGUUUGCCAAGUGCGGUUGCAUUAGUGAAGCUCGUUUCUUGUUUGGCGAGACACGUCCGAAGGACACAGUCUCUUACAAUGUGAUGGUGACUGCUCUUGCGCAACAUGGGCAUGGCAAAGAUGCACUGAAGCUUUUCAACGACAUGAUUGAGGAAGGAUGGCGGCCUGAUGCAGUGACAUUUCUUGGUGUGUUAUCAGCUUGCGCCCAUGCUGGGCUAGUGGACGAUGGAAAGCACUAUUUUGAGUCCAUGACAACGUACGCAAUUCAGAAAUCUGCAGAUCACUAUGCUUGCAUGGUGGAUCUCUAUGGCCGAGCUGGGCUUAUUGAAGAAGCGCACUCCUUUGUGAAGGUAAUGCCAGUGAAGCCACAUGCAGGUGUCUGGGGAGCAUUGCUUAGUGCCUGCCGGAAGCAUUGCAAUGUUUAUGUAGGCGAGGUCGCCGCAAGAGAACUCGUCAGGAUCGAACCCAUGAAUGCUGGCAACUACGUUCUCCUUGCAAAUACACUAGCUCGAAGCCGGCGAUGGGAUGCUGUUGAGGAUAUACGAGGACUGAUGAGGGGAAAUGCUGUUGAAAAAGAUAUAGGGCUCAGCUGGGUUGAAGUGGAUACCGUUGUUCACGAGUUUUUGACAGGGGAUUUCAGCCAUCCUAGUUUUAAUCAAAUUUACAACAUUCUGGAGCAUCUGUUUUUGCAACCAACCUAA
rnacentral:rRNA from 1 species